rnacentral:misc_RNA from 1 species
GUGAAUCAUCAAAUUUUUGAACGCAAAUUGCACUCUCCGCGGAGAGUAUGCCUGUUUGAGGGUCAGCCUAAAAAAAAACGACAUAGUUGCUGUUUCGCGGUGACGGUCGUUGGAAAUUGGGUCAUCUUAAAUCCUUUUGGGUUUAAGCGACUUAAAAUUUUCUUUUGGUUCCAUGUACGUUUCUAAGAUCUAUUUCUUUACACUUUUACUGUCUCGAUGUUUACUAGACGUGACCAUCAUAUCGUAUCGCGUGCAUAAUCUUUUAUUAAUUGACC